UGAGGGAUAUUGCACAAUGGGCGCAAGCCUGAUGCAGCAACGCCGCGUGAGGGAAGACGGUUUUCGGAUUGUAAACCUCUGUCUUCGGUGACGAACAAAAUGACGGUAGCCGAGGAGGAAGCCACGGCUAACUACGUGCCAGCAGCCGCGGUAAUACGUAGGUGGCGAGCGUUAUCCGGAAUUACUGGGUGUAAAGGGAGCGCAGGCGGGGCUUUAAGUCAGCGGUGAAAGCCAUGGGCUCAACCCAUGGACUGCCGUUGAAACUGGAGCUCUUGAGUGGAGUAGAGGCAAGCGGAAUUCCGAGUGUAGCGGUGAAAUGCGUAGAGAUUCGGAGGAACACCAGUGGCGAAGGCGGCUUGCUGGGCUCUAACUGACGCUGAGGCUCGAAAGUGUGGGGAGCAAACAGGAUUAGAUACCCUGGUAGUCCACACCGUAAACGAUGAUUGCUAGGUGUGGGGGGUCUGACCCCCUCCGUGCCGGAGCUAACGCAAUAAGCAAUCCACCU
rnacentral:rRNA from 1 species